GCCUCACAACAGCGUUGAAAGAGGACCUGCUGUUCUCCUCAUGUUCCAGGAAAGGGACUGAGCGUCAGAGAGGCUAUUACCCACCUUGACCAUGCAGCUGUGCUCGGGAAAAGGCAGCCUCCAGCCCAGGCCUCUUCAACUCCAAAGGUCCUACCCAGGCAGUAGUGGGGAGCAGGUACCAGAGAGCAGCUGUGGGCAUUCUGCGGGCCCACUUUCCCUCACCCUAGGUGUGCACCUGGUGGCCAGGGAAAGGGACCAGCAUGCUGGCUUGUUGACGCUUCAGUUCACCAUUCAUGCUUUUGUUCAGCAAUCACGCUUUUGUUGUCUGCCCCCGCGCGCCCACCCUACACACUGACACCAUCACACACCCACGCGUUUCUGCCGCCUCCUAAGCGUCACCUGCCUCCUCGGCGCAGGUGCACCCCACCUGGGGCUCGGCCUUUCCGUCCGUCCUUGGGAGCUGCAUGGCUUCCCCCCUCUUGCUCCCGCUCUCUGUUCUCCGAGGCA